AGAAAUUCGGAUUAACACCGCAUAAAAUCACAGAGCCGCAUGGUUCAAUGAUCAAAUAUUUAUAGGAUGGAGAUGGGCAUGCGUGUCAUUAGUUAGUUGGCGGGGUAACGGCCCACCAAGACCGCGAUGACUAGGGGAUCUGAGAGGAUGACCCCCCACACUGGUACUGAGACACGGACCAGACUCCUACGGGAGGCAGCAGUAAGGAAUAUUGGUCAAUGGGCGCAAGCCUGAACCAGCCAUGCCGCGUGCAGGAAGACGGCCCUCUGGGUUGUAAACUGCUUUUAUUCGGGAAUAAACCUCUCUACGUGUAGAGAGCUGAAUGUACCGAAGGAAUAAGGAUCGGCUAACUCCGUGCCAGCAGCCGCGG
rnacentral:rRNA from 1 species